rnacentral:rRNA from 1 species
GAUCCUGGCUUAGGAUGAACGCUAGCGACAGGCUUAACACAUGCAAGUCGAGGGGCAGCACGGGAGUAGCAAUACAACUGGUGGCGACCGGCGCACGGGUGAGUAACGCGUAUGCAACCUACCUAUCAGAGGGGAAUAACCCGGCGAAAGUCGGACUAAUACCGCAUAAAACAGGGGCACCGCAUGGUGAUAUUUGUUAAAGAGAUUCGCUGAUAGAUGGGCAUGCGUUCCAUUAGGUAGUUGGUGAGGUAACGGCUCACCAAGCCGACGAUGGAUAGGGGAACUGAGAGGUUGGUCCCCCACACUGGUACUGAGACACGGACCAGACUCCUACGGGAGGCAGCAGUGAGGAAUAUUGGUCAAUGGGCGGGAGCCUGAACCAGCCAAGUCGCGUGAAAGGAAGAAGGAUCUAUGGUUCGUAAACUUCUUUUGCAGGGGAAUAAAGUGCAGGACGUGUCCUGUUUUGUAUGUACCCUGAGAAUAAGGAUCGGCUAACUCCGUGCCAGCCGCUGC